rnacentral:rRNA from 1 species
AGCAGCCGCGGUAAUUCCAGCUCCAAUAGCGUAUAUUAAAGUUGUUGCAGUUAAAAAGCUCGUAGUUGAACUUCGGGGUUUACUCAUUGGUCAGGCUUAAUUGUCUGUACUGGUGAGAUGGAUCUCUACCUUCUGAGGAACUUUCAUGUCAUUAAUUUGGUGUGAUUGGAAAUCAGGACUGUUACUUUGAAAAAUUAGAGUGUUUAAAGCAGGCUAACGUCUGAAUACAUUAGCAUGGAAUAAUGAAAUAGGACGGGCUGAUUCUAUUUCGUUGGUUUCUAGGAUCACCGUAAUGAUUAAUAGGGAUAGUUGGGGGCAUUAGUAUUCAAUUGUCAGAGGUGAAAUUCUUGGAUUUAUUGAAGACUAACUACUGCGAAAGCAUUUGCCAAGGAUGUUUUCAUUAAUCAAGAACGAAAGUUAGGGGAUCGAAGACGAUCAGAUACCGUCGUAGUCUUAACCAUAAAACUAUGCCGACUAGGGAUCGGACGAAGUUAAUUUAUAAUGACGCGUUCGGCACCUU